AACUUAUCAAGAGAGGGGGAGGGACUGGCCCGAGGAAACCUCAGCAACAGAUUCUUUUUGGGAAUACUGUGCUAAUUCCAGCAAGCGUCAAGCUUGGAAGAUAAGUU
rnacentral:ncRNA from 15 species